CUUUCUCUUUCUCUCUCUUUGUCUUCUCCCUUUCUAUAAAUCAAAACCCAAACCCCAUCACCACCUUUUGAUCACAAUCUCCCCCAUUAAAACACACCACUUCCACCAUAUGUCUCCACGGACCACCGCCUUUCUGGCUCUUCUUCUUCUUCUUGUUGGUGCAGGUGGACAGUUCCAAAGGGAUCGCAUUGAUCCCAUGGUUAUCUUCCACCUCUCUUACCAGACUAUCAUAACAAAGUCUGGCCUUUUUCCCAUUGGAUCAUGCUAUCCCUUAGGACCUCUCCAUCAGUGCUUCUUUCUCAGCAUCUCCCACCUCCCUUUCAGGCUGCAAUCUCAGAAAUAGGGGUGUGUUUGGCUUUGUAUUGAAAGUCCACCUGCAAUAGUAGGGAAAUAUUCGUCUUUUUAAGACAUGGUCUUCAGUGACAUGUCGAGCUUAUUAUUCUUCGAUUACUAGUUUCCUAUUGCACAUGGGUUGAAGACAAUGUGGGGUCAAUAUUUAAAACUACUAAGCCAUAAGUUGAUGAUCAUUCAAAUUUCAAAGGCAUUACAAUGUUGUGAUCAAGUGAUUUUCUUUUACCAGAGAAAGUGAUGGAAUCAUGGUAUUGGGUUUUUCUUUUCUCCUUCUGCCAUUUCCCCUAUGUUGAUCUAUAUAAGAUGAUGGCUAUUAGUUUACCAGGAGACUUCUCUUCAGAGCUGUUUUAACAACUUCUUCACCUCCUUGACUAUAUCCAAAAUUGUUGCACUGAAAAAAUUGGAUGAGUACAAUGUGUGUGUGGAGAUGGCAUGAUUUUUUGUGGAUGUAACUAGGCCCAUUCAGCCAAACUUUCAAUCUUAUCUGAUUGGCAUUUGGGCU